AUGACGCUCACUACAGCACUCAUAGUCACAGCUCUGUGCUCUGUUUUGAGUGUGACUCUGACUGAGUCUGAGCCAGUGACCAUCAGUCCUGGAGGAUCUCACAAACUGACCUGCACAGCUUCUGGAUUCACGUUCAGUAGCUACUGGAUGGGCUGGGUCAGGCAGGCUCCUGAGAAAGGGCUGGAAUGGAUUGCAACCAUCUCAAGUGAUGGAACUAGUUACAAAUAUUACUCUACUUCUGUUCAGGAGAGAUUCACCAUCUCCAGAGACAACAGCAAGAGGCAGGUGUAUCUGCAGAUGAACAGUCUGAAGGCUGAGGACACGGCUGUGUAUUACUGUGCUCGAUACCCACAGUGA